CAGUCGCCGCGGUAAUACGUAGGUGGAAAGCGUUGUCCGGAAUUAUUGGGCGUAAAGGGCUCGCAGGCGGUUUCUUAAGUCUGAUGUGAAAGCCCCCGGCUCAACCGGGGAGGGUCAUUGGAAACUGGGAAACUUGAGUGCAGAAGAGGAGAGUGGAAUUCCACGUGUAGCGGUGAAAUGCGUAGAGAUGUGGAGGAACACCAGUGGCGGAGGCGACUCUCUGGUCUGUAACUGACGCUGAGGAGCGAAAGCGUGGGGAGCGAACAGGAUUAGAUACCCCAGUAGUCCCUGUCUCUUAUAC
rnacentral:rRNA from 1 species